rnacentral:rRNA from 1 species
CCCUUAGAUGUUCUGGGCCGCACGCGCGCUACACUGACGAAGUCAGCGAGCAUGUCCUACGCCGACAGGUGCGGGGAAUCUUGUCAAACUUCGUCGUGGUGGGGAUUGAUUAUUGAAAUUCUUGAUCAUCAACGAGGAAUUCCUAGUAAGCGCAAGUCAGCAGCUUGCGUUGAUUACGUCCCUGCCCUUUGUACACACCGCCCGUCGCUACUACCGAUUGAAUGGUUUAGUGAGAUCUUCGGAUUGGCGCCACUGCGGCUCAGCAAUGGGCUCGGUGGAUGCCGAAAAGUUGAUCAAACUUGAUCAUUUAGAGGAAGUAAAAGUCGUAACA